rnacentral:rRNA from 1 species
UACGUAGGGCGCAAGCGUUGUCCGGAAUUAUUGGGCGUAAAGCGCACGUAGGCGGCUUUGUAAGUUAGAGGUGAAAGCCCGGAGCUCAACUCCGGAACUGCCUUUAAGACUGCAUCGCUUGAAUCCAGGAGAGGUGAGUGGAAUUCCGAGUGUAGAGGUGAAAUUCGUAGAUAUUCGGAAGAACACCAGUGGCGAAGGCGGCUCACUGGACUGGUAUUGACGCUGAGGUGCGAAAGCGUGGGGAGCAAACAGG